GCCUUUGUGGAUCAAUGGCGAUCACCUCGUUGCCAUACUGGAGAAACGAUGUGAGUUGUACCGAGGAGGAAGGGGUUCAAAUCCCCUCAAAGGCA